GCUGAUAGAAAAUGCCGCAUAGAUGUAAAUGUCGAGGGAAAUUAUCUUUUAUACUGGUGAUGUGCGAUAAACAUGUCAUCCAAGAUGGACGCUGAAAGAACUGAAGUAACUCGCACGUGCGGCAAAUUUUGAAAACGUAAAACGUUGAACGCGUUUUGAGAAUAGAAUUUUAUUAUUUUUUUUUUUUUUUUUAUAUUAUUUAUUUGAUUAUCGAGAAUUGUAUUUGCCGAUAUAUUCAUUGAUAUCUGAUGACGAUUUCUUCUAACUGUACUAAUCUUGUUAAAAGAAUUUGUGUAAUUAUUGUUAACAAGUCGAUUUAAUUUUAAAAAAUAUGGCCAGAGCGACAACGUGCAAAGAAGCUAUUCAAAGAUGGG